UAAGGCAUAUAUUUGGGCAAUGGACGCAAGUCUGACCCAGCCAUCCCGCGUGCAGGAUGAAUGCCCUAUGGGUUGUAAACUGCUUUUGUUUGGGAAGAAAUGUACUUUUUUAAGAGUAUUUGACGGUACCAGACGAAUAAGCACCGGCUAACUCCGUGCCAGCAGCCGCGGUAAUACGGAGGGUGCAAGCGUUAUCCGGAAUCACUGGGUUUAAAGGGUGCGUAGGCGGCCAGAUAAGUCAGAGGUGAAAGUUUCCGGCUCAACCGGGAGAUUGCCUUUGAUACUGUUUGGCUUGAAUCAGAUUGAGGUUGGCGGAAUGUGACAUGUAGCGGUGAAAUGCAUAGAUAUGUCAUAGAACAUCGAUUGCGAAGGCAGCUGGCUGGAUCUGUAUUGACGCUGAGGCACGAAAGCGUGGGGAGCAAACAGGAUUAGAUACCC
rnacentral:rRNA from 1 species